rnacentral:ncRNA from 17 species
CGAGGGGUACGCGACUGGCGAUAGGCGCGGUGCAUCCGCGAAGGCGGACGCCGCCGCUGACGUGGAAACCGGCAGGCACUUUCACCUGCGAACCACUGGGAAGCGUGCCGCACGGGCUGCAAGGCCCGUUGUGUUCCGCCGUUCGCCUGGGCAGCCCUU